rnacentral:tRNA from 1 species
UUCAUGGUUGAGUGGUAAGGAUACUUGCCUCUCACACAGGAGUCCCGGGUUCGAUCCACGGUCGAGAAA